UAUUGAUUAUCAAUAAUAAUUUCAAAAACAUUAUGCGUUUUCAGUUUAAAUAGGAAAAAAUAAUGUUGCAAUAAUCAAUACCCAUACCUACUUGACUAAUUUAAUACGAUACGAUUUUAAUUAGUUUUGAACGAUCUUUCUUUCUUCCACAUGGUUUCGUUAGUGACGGUAAUUUCGAGAUUUCACGAGACUGCAUGUUCUAAUCAUGUUUCACAAUAGCAACGACAACGUAGGUGCUGCAAUGGCGUGCGUGGCCACUGAUCAACUUCAUUGUGGCAAUAAAUAUAAAAUGUAUGGAUUUGAGAAGAUACAGAUUUGACAAGAGAACCAUUUAAUGUAAUGAAAGAAACCACACCAUAUCACAGCAUGAAGCCGCCAGGCAGCUAAUGCAGCAGCCAUAACAAUUUCAAUUGCAAGGAUCUCGCCGGUCC